GACGAACGCUGGCGGCGUGCUUAACACAUGCAAGUCGAGCGGUAAGGCCCUUCGGGGGUACACGAGCGGCGAACGGGUGAGUAACACGUGGGUGACCUGCCUUUAGCUCUGGGAUAAGCCUGGGAAACUGGGUCUAAUACCGGAUACGACUCCGCGGUGCAUGCUGUGGGGUGGAAAGCCUUGUGCGGCUGGAGAUGGGCCCGCGGCCUAUCAGCUUGUUGGUGGGGUGAUGGCCACCAAGGCGACGACGGGUAGCCGGCCUGAGAGGGCGACCGGCCACACUGGGACUGAGACACGGCCCAGACUCCUACGGGAGGCAGCAGUGGGGAAUCUUGCGCAAUGGGCGAAAGCCUGACGCAGCGACGCCGCGUGA
rnacentral:rRNA from 1 species